CAUCUGACAGAGUUACUACAUCUCUCAUCGCCUUGGGUUCAAAAUCCUGUUUGGUAGCCCAAACAAAAUACCGGCCUGGAAGAGGAGAUGCUUUUUUGUCCGGAACCCUGAGGGGUGGCCCUUCCCAACUUACUAGCGGGUGGCUAUUAAAGACCCCAGGCUGAGGCUGGAUGCGGAGACCAGGGUAGUCGUUAACUCCUGGAGGGACCUCAGCCUGGAGAUGAGGGAUUUCUUGGCUGAGGAGAAGCUUGUGCAAGUUAGGCUAGGCCCUCCUGCUAUGCUGGAGGUCGAUGCAGAGAACCUUUUGAAGAGCUUUCAGAAAGGGAAAAAGAGGAAGGCCUCGAAGAAGUCUCGCAGGGAGGCCGGUCCCUCUUCCCCUAUCCUGCUCGAGGUCAUUGCGCCGAAGCCGAUCUCGGCCGAACUUUCGAAGGAGGAGGUCCGUCCCUAGCCUCCUAUCGUGGACCUGGACGAAGACAAGGACGAAGAAGCUCCGCCUCGCGAAUCGGAAGCUUCCACGCCCGAACCUUAGCUCUCGAAGGAGAGAAUAAUGACCCCUCGGCUCGGACUCCUCAAGAGCAAGGAUGCCGUAUUUCGCUGUUAGCUACUGUAUGGUGGUGAACUCGGGAAGCCGAGGAGAAUGCUCAAAAACUUUACCACAAGCUGGACUUAGCUCAGGGUGAUGUUCUUCAGGCUAAGAAAGGAGCUCGAAGUCAAUAGAAGCUGAUCCUGGCACUGACUAAGGAGAAGGAGAAGCUCCAAUGCGAGAACGAAAACCUCGAUGCGAUGAUCAAAGAGCACACCGAGAUUUUCGAGAUUGCUAUUCAAGAGGCGUGAGCUGAGGAGGAGAGCGUGCCGUCGAAAGCUUCAAGGAGUCUUCGGAGUUCCACAAUCUCCAGGUCAAGUACGGAUCGAGCUCUUACCAGUCUGGCUUCAAACUAUGCAAAUAUCUGAUGCGGCAGAAGUUUACCGAACUGGACCUCGGAGUUGUUUCAAGGUUUGACCUCACUCCCGAGACGGUGAAGGCUGCCAAUGAAGAACCCGGCUCCUCCGAAGAGGAAAGCAAUGAUGAAGUCCCUGAGGCGGGCCCAUCAGGUCGAGAGGAUGCGGAGGAGGAUCGCAUGGAGACUGACUUGCCUAGUAGUUCGGAUGCAUGAUUUUUGCCUCUUUUUUUGGACCUUUAUGAUGUACACCCCGAGCCUC